UCUGAGGUUCGGGGGAGGACGAGAGACAGAACGAUCGAAUAAGUUAACGGCCUCAAGACAAAGAUAAAGGAAAAAGUAUUUUGUGUUCUUGUUCUUUUUAUAAUUCCAUGCGCAAUUCGGAGCUCUAUGCAUUGAUGACCAGAGAAGAGACGCAGAGAUGGACCUUCAAUGCAUGGACGGGUGGAACUCUCCAAGGGACGGGACCAUCUGGGUUGUGUCCACGGCACGCAAGCAACAACGCCUCAUAAGAAGGUCUUCAACAUAUUCGUCCGUCAUCAAAAAAGUUAUGAGAAGCAGUUUCGAUGAAGCUAAAAUGCCACGAAAUCAACUUCAGGGAUCUCGGUGUCAUUAAAAUUGUCUGGAAUUGUCUGAAUUUUGUAACAACAUGUAUUGUUAUUUGAUGUUUUCAGUAGCUGUCAAUUAAAAACAAAGCCAGGAUGUUCAUGGCAAUAACAGCCUCACACAUCCUCCCUAAACACGGGAUAUUUCCGACCUUAUCCGGCAUGUUGGAUCGCCGGAGCUUUGCUAUCUGUUUUGAACCAGGUGUAACUGGUUCUGGUUCGCCAACAAGCUUCCUUCUCUUUCCCGACACUGAUGAGGAAAGAUCAGGUCGCAAAACAAAUGCCCGAAUUAGCAACGAAAACAAUUAAGAGAUCAGACAACGGCGCUUCUUGGUGAUAUUGAUUUGCAUUCGACUCGUUGUGGUUUAAACAGAAUAAUUAUUUAGGUCCACGGAGCCUUUCUGGCCUCAAAACAGAAUCGUUAACGACGCGAUGGAUCAUAAUUCAUCCGCUGUUCCCGCGGGAUUAAGGGAGCGACAGUAGCGCAAUCUCAUACCGGUAUGCGCCCGUUCUUCACAACAGCACGCAGCCGGGAAACGGUGUGUCACACGCCGAGGUCCGGUUAGCCCGCUGCGGCGGAGGAAUCCCCGGUGACAACCCCCCGCGGCUAUCGAAGCCCCGUUAAUAAAAACACUUUAGAGAAAUGUUUUUUUUUUAUUUUUUUAAGCCCACCUGUUUUAGUAAAGAUGCUGCUUCUCGGUUGCGGCGCACGCGGGCGACACAUUUCUCUGACGUUUUCUCCGCAGCUGUGGCCGGUAGGACACCGGGCCGGGGCCCCGCACGGUGACGGUCGAGAAAAGCCACUCGGACGAAUGAACCGAGUGGGCUGCGUCGGCUGGUCACGAGGACGACUGCGAUUGGACGACGGGCGGAAGUACUGCUAAGGGGCCGCCGUCAAAAUAAAAGCACGGCGGUAGGAUGGCGGAAUGUGUUUGUCAUAUGAAAUUAAAGAUUUGACAUAAUUU